UUUUUUGUAGUGUAGUGGUUAUCGUGUCCGCCUCACACGCGGAACGUCGCAGGUUCGAGCCCUGCCCGAAGCAA
rnacentral:tRNA from 1 species